rnacentral:lncRNA from 1 species
UUAUGUUGAUAAACUCAGUGACCCAAAUAGCUGAUUUAUUCUUUGUUUCUGGUUGCUUUUACAACAAAAAGUUUUCCACCCAACAUCAAUAGCAAUGGAAGCAUUUGCCUUGAUAUUCUUAAUGGUACAAUCAUACUACAUGUGCAUCAUUCUAUACAUCUUGGUUUGUAUUCUUCCUCAUGGAACCAUCUUCCUUUGAUUUUCCAGCAAUCUUUCACAUCACUGCCCAUACUGUGCUACAUAGCGGGAAUGUCAUCCAUGGUGCAUGGGAAAAUGUACAACUAGCAUUAUUGAUCUAAGGUAAUUAAUUUUUUUUCGUUAUAAUAAUGAGAUGACAUCAUUUAAUGAAUUGUGGCUAUACACGUUCAAACUUGGACUAAAUUAAUUUUAAUGUAUGGGUUUCCACACUUGAUAUAUCAUACAUUAUUCUCUGUGUUCGCGUUCCCAUUUAUGACUGGUUCCACAGUCUUAUGCAUUGGCUUCAUCAUUAAAAAAUGUAACAGAUUGCAAUGUAUGCUCGGGAUUCAUUUAGUUCUUUUUUGGUCAAUACACUAACUUGGUUCGGAAGACAGGAAAAAUAAAUCAGGGAUUUGGCUUGGGUUUUAGGUGAUUUUAAAAUUGGUAAUCAAAGUAAACUUAUUUUAUUACUUAGUUAUGAGAAAAAUUGUUGGGUUGAAGUCACCAAAGUAAACAACCGAUCCAAUAUGAUGAUUAUAAUUACAACACAUAAAAAAAAAAAAUCUUUUAAUAUGUUGAGGAAUAUCCCUAUCAAUAAUUAUCUAGGAAAUGGCGACAUUCCAUAUAUAGAAAUAAACUCCCGAGUAUGAUCUUCUCUUACUUUUCUUUAAACCAUUUUCCAAGUUGCAUGCACAUGUUGGAUUGCCAUUAUCGUAUACGAUAGAUCUUCACAUUUCAUAUGCCAAUAUUAUCGAGUUUAGAUUCUCAAAAUUUAAACUCUCUCUCCAGAUAUACUAUUAUUACCCUUUGACUGCUCCUUUGGACCUUACUAAGGUUUACAAUAACAUCCAAUGGAAUAGCACAAAGGCCCAACACGUUGACACAAUAAUUCAUAUGAGACGCGACUGGGUAAGUUCCUCAUUUUAAUUCCAUUAUGUCUUCUCAUUUCUUCAUGCACCUUAAAUGCUUCAUCUCUAUUUUUCAAAGAGUAAAAUCAUAUGUAAAUUGACCACAUUAAAUUAAGUUCAUUUUCCUUACCUCAUUGAAUACUAAUUUUACCUUCAAAAUAACUGUGCCCGUGUAGAAUACAUAAAAUUCAUGCAUGUAACACAAACCAACCCUUCCCCCCCCCCCCUUCAAACGCAUAAUUUAAUUCAUUUUUAAAUAUGUAGUGAUAUCUAUUAUUUAACAAGAGCACGUGCCCAUUUAUUUAUAUUAUAAGAUAUAACAUGAAUCACCAAAAUCAUUUCAAAAUAAAUUUAGUACCUUCCAAGAGCGUAAAUCAGAAGUGGGUGGAAAGAAAUUUGUUAUAUAUUUUCUUCGUGUGUUGAAAUAUUCUUGCAAUUACAAGAAACAGGGAAAUCAUUUUUAGUAAAGGAAUGCCUAAGGUUUCUUUCUAAUUUUAGGUCCUUUAUUUAAUGAUAAGAUUGCACUAAUUAAUUAAUUAUCGAAUUCAUUGGAUUCAAAAUUGUGCUAAUUACCAAAUUCAUUACAUUGAAUAUUGGGCUGAUUCCAUUCUUCUUUACUGUCCAAAUAAAAAUUCAAUCAAACGAAAAAUAUAUAAAUGUUAAGAUCAAGCCUAUGUUUAAUUUAUUUAAUAACAAAUUAUAACAUCAUAAGCUUAUUAUAAAAUAUCAUAUUAUGUGUUAUAUGUUCAAUUGAAUUGCAUUAUAAUUAACUUUAAUUGCCACGUCGAUCAUAAGGCGUCCAAGGUACACUCCAUUACAAAACAUGGUUAUUCACAAAGACAAUAAAUUAACAUUUCGCAUCAUACAUAUAUGUAAAUUGAAGAAAAGAAAGUGCGGCGUUACAAAAGGAAUCUCAUCUUUUGGGUAUUAAAAUUUAUUUUAAUUUCACUAUUUAUUUAAUACCAACUCUAAUAUUUUUUUGUAUUCGUUUAGCUUUAUUUUACAUGAAAUUUGUUAGUUUAAGGGAUAUCCUCUUUUACAAUUAUUCUUAUAAUUUGUUUCCAUUGCAAAAAAUAAAAUAAAAUAAAAUAAAAAAGGUGGAAAAAAUAAAACCACCUACCCAAGGAAAAAUGAAUUCCCCAAAAAUAAGGAAUUGGUGCACGUGUGAGUCAAAGGUGGAAAACCAAUUGUCUAGAAAAUUUUUACUAUCAAACAAGCCAAAAGUGAGACAUGAAAUUUGUUUUCCAUUUUCCAUGGAAAAUUUUGCGAUAUCAAACAUGGCCAAAGUGUAUUUUUUAUAAUUAUUUUUUUAUACUUAUAACAAGAAAUUUCAAUAAUUAAUUGUUUGGUAGAUAUUUUGUUAAUUGAUUUUUUGACCGUUAGAGAUAAAGUGAGUCCCACCUGUGAGAAUAAUUCAAAAAU